AGGAGGAAGAAGACUUACUUGGGCGAAGACAAAGACGAAGACGAUGGAGGACUGGUCAGCUAGCCUCUUCAUGUUUUUCUCUUCUUCUGGUCUUUUGUUCUCCUGAUGGGUUCUGUCUCUCUGUUUGCUAUGGUGUUUCUUUUUAUUUGUUCGUCGCUCCCAUGUUCUCUCUUGGUCUCUCCUUUUUUUUUUUUCUCUGCCCAUCUCUGCUCCUUUUUUUUCUGUCAUCUCUCCCCAUUUGAUUGUUGAUUUCCUUGGUAUUUAUAGGGAUCUUCCUUCUCUGCCUCAACCUACACCUCUCCUCUUGAUAAGCAUGGCUUGGGGAGUCGGUUUCCUGCUAGGACUCGGACGCCAACAAUCCUCCUACGCCUGGACUGUUGGUGGUAGACUUUGGCCUGGAUUCCGGUAGCGUGUCCGGGAGGAAGUCUGCUUGGAUUGGGGACCUCGGUAGGUUAAAUAUGGCUUGUGUUGGGCUGCCCAUCUGGGCAGCAUUUCAUUUUUUUCUUUACCGGUGGCUUCCUCUGUCUUCAGAGGAAGAAGACGAUAGAUGUACGUGAAACGACGCCAUUUCAGGGCAAAGGCGGCUGUUUUUCAAUUUGGUCCUCGAUGUUUUGACAUUUUUCAAUCGAACCCCUAGACCAAAUUGUAAUUAAACCCCUGCAUUGCGGCGCCUUUACACAACGGUCCUUGGACUUUAAUUUCUUGUUAUUUGGACCUAAACCAACCCUGAAUUUUUAAUAUUUCUUCAAUUAAGCCCAAGAUUUCAUUAAUUAAACUAAUUUUAAGUUCAAUUAAGUCCUCAAACUUAUCAAUUAUUUCCUUUUCUACCACAAUUGGCUCCCAAACUUAUUAUCCAUUCUGAUUAAAUUCUCAAGACUUUCAAUUUGUGUUGUCUUGGCCUAAAACUCAAAUUUGUUUUCAUUCAUUUUAUUUUUGUGAAUUUAUAUUGUCAAAAAUUGGGUUAUGACAAAAAGUAUUAUGCUAUACUCCUCUUAGUGUACCAAUAUAUGAAAAUCAUUAUGAGUUCAACUUACCUUUUACAAUGCUACAACUAGAACUUAUUUAAUCAAAGAAAUAAGCAGGAAAUAAUAAUUUUCUAAUGCUACUGAGAAUGUUAUGACUUAUUUUCCUAUUUGAACCUAAAUCUUAGAAUCUUCAUUCAACUAAGUAUAAUUAUUAUCAUUACACUUUUUUUUAUUUUCAAAGGCUUUAAGUACAUUCCCAUUGAUGAAUUAUACACAAACUCUCUCGACAAACCUUUGGUUAGUGGAUUCGUAAUAUUUUUCUUUGAAUUUACAUAGUCAAUGGAAAC
rnacentral:lncRNA from 1 species